ACAAUAGUGCAGGGUACAAUUUAUAGAUAUAUGAUCCACAAAAUAUGCAAAAAGAGAUGAUAUCACAAAUAUCUUGUUCCUUCCAUGCUAAAAUGAUCCAUGAUUUGAUUUGUUUUGAGUUUCCGAGGGUAAAGAGUUCUUUCCAGUAGAAUGACUCAUCAUUGCAUCAGGUGCCUCCCUAAAAAUGUAAGCAAACUUAUUCACACACAUGAAAUUUUAAGAAACCUUGAAAAUCCAAUGUGUGCAAUAGAUUAAAAACAUAUAUAACUUAUGUACAACACACAAGGCACAUGCACAAACUUAUUAUUACAAUUAGACAUUAUCCUUCAGUCUAAGCCUAUUGAAGUACCAAUGAACCAAACACCACAACCUGCAUAAUACUAUGCUACAACAGUAAAGUGUGCUGCUCAUUAAAUAAGAAGUGCUAAACAACAAUAAAUAUGGUAUGUUAACUAAUUUACAGACUUUGAAUAUAUCAUUGUAAAGUCCACAAGCAAAUUAGAUAAACUAAGAACUAGCAACAUAUUGUUUGCUGAUCUAAAAUAUGAAAUAAUGCAAGGUAUGUAAAAUCGAGUACGUAGUUAACCUUAGGUAUACCUGCUAAGCCAUCUCAUCCCUCAACCACAUCAAUGCAACCUCUCUAUCAUCAUUGCAUGCACUCAAGAAUAUCUGUCGAUUGUCAGGGUCCUUGAACACCUUAUAUGCUUUGACCUUCUCCUCUUUUGUGACUUCCAAUGUGUUUAGAACUACUAUGCAAUUCUUAGUUGAGAAAUCAUCACAUCAUCUUGCCUCCCUUUCUCUUGCCAAUUGUGUCGCUUCAUCUUCAGCUUGUUUGCUUCUAAUGUCUAGGUACCUCUCCAUCAAUACUUCUAUGUUGGAACUCUUCUUCGGCCUCUUUGGUCCUUUUUCUUCUUCAUUCCUUGAAACAGCAGAAGUCCUUUUUGACCUUUCAUCCUGCCUAUCAGCAUUUACAUUAACCCCUUCAACUUCAUACACUAUGUCUUCUACUUCAUUUUGUCUGUGAUCUUCCAAAGGGUCUCCCACAUCUUCACGGUCUUCUACAUUGAUAGGGACAUCUCCAGACCCAAUUUGUGUGAGAUCUGGACCAUUUGGUUGAGUAGAAGUGAAGUUGUAGGUCCCUUCAGUAGUAUUACAUAUACAAUGAAGUUUUAGUGCAAGAAAUAGUACAACAUAGUGAAUAAACUUAGUUACUGGUAAAAGGAAAACUAACCAUCAUGUAGCUCUCCCAAAGCUUCAAACAGAGGAAAAGAUUUGUUGCGGAAUUUUUUAGCCCUUGGAAAUGACUGCACAAUAAAGUAAAAAACUAAAUGUGAGAUGAAUAAAACAAACAACACUUAAAUAUUCAUGUAAAUGCCAAGCUAAGAACUGACACCACACAAAAAGAUCUCAAGUUUACAGAAACAUGGUAAUAAACUUACUUUGAUUAUGUUGUCCCAUAUCGGUGGAUCAGCUUGAAUCAUACACCUUUUCUCAUCCCAAGAAACUCCGCUUUGUUUCCUCGCAUCUUUCAACAUCCUGUAAUCUCUCUUUAACUCCUUUUCCUUUUCUUGGAUUUGAACUUUUGAGAAACCUGCAUAUCUUUCCCUCUCUUGAAAUUCCUUGGCAAUCUUGUUCCAUGCAUCGGGUGUCCAACCAUUGUUACCCUUAUAUUCAGGUGUAUUGUGUUCAUGUAACAAGUCAACAAGGGUCUUCUCUAACAUAGAAUUCCAAUUUGCUCUUGUUUUCCCUGCAAAUCAGCACAUAAGCAACAUAAGAAAGAACCAAAACUAAUCAGAAAGAACCAACGUGUAUACCUUUUGGAGAGCCUCUAUGUGUCUUUGAAGCAGUAGCUAUAGGAGAUUUUUUUCUUUUGUGCAUCUUUAGAUAAGAGCAUGUUAAAUCUCGAAGACCCCCUUCCAAGCAUGUUUAAUCUUGGAGACCCUCUUCCAAUCAUGUUAACUUAUAACAUGAGCAUAAUUAGAACUUGAAAGCAUAAUUAUGAAUAAAAAUAAAUUUUAGAGAUUAUUGAACUGAAAGCAUAUUUGAAUAACAUUAAAACAUCAUAACUAGUACAAACUACAUUUCCUAAGAACUUAUUGCAAUCCUAAUAACAUUAAAACAUAUUCUAAUGCAUCACUAAUUGUUUCUGUGUUGUUGAUAAUCAACCCAUAUUUGUUGUGCAAUUGUGUCUCUGAGAUUGUUGCCUUGUUCAUUGCCUUGAUCAUUGCUUUGAUCUCCAUCUGGAAGGUCAACAACAUUGCCUUGAACAUUUUCUAUCUGAUCUUAUAACCAUUGUUCAUCUCCUUUGAGAGAUCGAAUAAUGUUGUGCAACACGGCAGCUGCUACCAGUAUCUUCACUUGGUUUUCUAAUUUGUGAAAUGUGGCAACCUUAAGGAUGGGGAAGCGUUUCUUUAUAACUCCCAAGGCCCUCUCAAUAUGAUUCCUCAACACUGCAUGGCGAUGAUUAAAGAUCUCCUUGUAGUUUUGUGGUCUUCGACGACCUACCCCAUAUUCCUUCAAAUGAUACCUAACUCCGCGAUAUGGGGCAAGGAAAGAUGUGGUGUUGGCAUAACCACCAUCUACUAAAUAAAAUUUCCCCAGGGGUACUUGAAAGCCACUGUUCAUCGCAGCCCUAAGAACUCUAGCAUCCAUCGCGGACCCCUCCCACCCACUGGAUAUGAAAGUUACAUUGAGAUCAAAAUCACACGCUACCAUUACAUUUUGAGUAAGAGUGCCCUUCCUAUUCCUAAAUGGAGCGGCUUUGUCAGGUGAUAUCGAUAUAGGCACAUGAGUGCCAUCGAUUGCUCCAAUGCAAUUCUGCAUAGAAAAAACUACAUGUGAUUUUCUAAACAUUGGAAGGAAAAGGACAAUUAUUGACAUAUGAUAGAAUAGUCCAUGUAAUCACCUUGAAGUAAGGAUAAAACCUAGGAUUCCUUUCGAUUUUUUUAUGAACAUGAUUAGGAUUUGGUGGCUUUAGGAAUUGCUUGGAGAGGACAGGAACAACUAGGUCAAAGAAAUGCUUUAUGUGAUGAUGAAAUGUAUCACCACUAUGCCCAAAUUCUUCUAUUAGGUCUUCAAACGAGGCAUUAUGGCUGAGCAUGUAUAAGAAGAAUGCUAGCUUUUCCUCGACCUUAAUUCUUGUAUCACAAACCAGCCCCUCUCUUCUAAGAUAACUUGCCAACGAUUUGAAAAUUUCAGGCUCCAUCCUGAACGCUACCCGACAGUUCUUCACAUGACCUUGAAGCAACUCCUGAACAUGUUCUUCGCCACUUAAUUUUGAUGUAUGCCUUCGCUUCUUUUCCCUUACUGUGUUGGAACUAGAACCCAAUAUAUGUAGCAUAGGUAAAAAACAGCAUCAUAUCAUCAUCAUCAUCAUCUCUCCUCUUCCUAAGGUGAUCACUUAAUGCCACAUCCAUUGCUAACUAAAAAGAAAUUCAUUGCAGAAAAUAAAUACCAACAAAAACAGAACAUGAUGUAAUAAAGAACAUAUAGGAUAUAACAAGUACCUAAAGGAGAGGGUAUAGGGUCCCAAGACGGUGGAAGCUCGUCUUCUCCAACUCGAACCGAUGCAGGGAUAAUCUAGAAAUAUAAUUGGUUUUUG
rnacentral:lncRNA from 1 species